rnacentral:rRNA from 1 species
GCAAGUCGAGCGCUACCUUCGGGUGGAGCGGCGGACGGGUUAGUAACGCGUGGGAACGUACCCUUCGGUAAGGAAUAGCCACUGGAAACGGAGAGUAAUACCUUAUACGCCCUUUGGGGGAAAGAUUUAUCGGAGAAGGAUUAGCCCGCGUUAGAUUAGAUAGUUGGUGGGGUAAUGGCCUACCAAGUCUACGAUCUAUAGCUGGUUUGAGAGGAUGAUC